rnacentral:rRNA from 1 species
GAAUUCACUAGUGAUUCCUUUUAUUCGUUGAGCGAUGGCCCUUCCAUACAGAACCACCGGAUCACUAAGACCUACUUUCGUACCUGCUCGACGUGUCUGUCUCGCAGUCAAGCGCGCUUUUGCCUUUAUACUCUGCGACCGAUUUCCGACCGGUCUGAGCGCACCUUCGUACUCCUCCGUUACUCUUUAGGAGGAGACCGCCCCAGUCAAACUGCCCACCAUACACUGUCCUCGAUCCGGAUCACGGACCAGAGUUAGAACCUCAAGCAUGCCAGGGUGGUAUUUCAAGGAUGGCUCCACGCGAACUGGCGUCCACGCUUCAAAGCCUCCCACCUAUCCUACACAAGCAGGCUCAAAGUCCAGUGCAAAGCUACAGUAAAGGUUCACGGGGUCUUUCCGUCUAGCCGCGGAUACACUGCAUCUUCACAGCGAUUUCAAUUUCACUGAGUCUCGGGUGGAGACAGCGCCGCCAUCGUUACGCCAUUCGUGCAGGUCGGAACUUACCCGACAAGGAAUUUCGCUACCUUAGGACCGUUAUAGUUACGGCCGCCGUUUACCGGGGCUUCGAUCAAGAGCUUCGCUUGCGCUAACCCCAUCAAUUAACCUUCCGGCACCGGGCAGGCGUCACACCCUAUACGUCCACUUUCGUGUUUGCAGAGUGCUGUGUUUUUAAUAAACAGUCGCAGCGGGCCUGGUAUCUUCGACCAGCCAGAGCUUACGGAGUAAAUCCUUCACCCUAGCCGGCGCACCUUCUCCCGAAGUUACGGGGCCAUUUUGCCUAGUUCCUUCACCCGAGUUCUCUCAAGCGCCUUGGUAUUCUCUACCCGACCACCUGUGUCGGGUUGGGGUACCGGUUCCUGUUUACUUGAAGCUUAGAAGCUUUUCUGGGAAGCAUGGCAUCAACCACUUCGUCAUCUAAAAGACGACUUGUCAUCAGCUCUCGGCCUUGAAACCCCGGAUUUACUUAAGAUUUCAGCCUACUACUUUAAACUUGGACAACCAACGCCAAGCUGGCCUAGCCUUCUCCGUCCCUCCAUCGCAGUAACCAGAAGUACAGGAAUAUUAACCUGUUUCCCAUCGACUACGCUUUUCAGCCUCGCCUUAGGAACCGACUAACCCUGCGUCGAUUAACGUUGCGCAGGAACCCUUGGUCUUUCGGCGUGGGUGUUUUUCACACCCAUUGUCGUUACUCAUGUCAGCAUUCGCACUUCUGAUACCUCCAGCAAGCUUCUCAACUCACCUUCACAGGCUUACAGAACGCUCCUCUACCGCGUCACUUACGUGACACCCGCAGCUUCGGUGUGUGGUUUGAGCCCCGUUACAUCUUCCGCGCAGGCCGACUCGACUAGUGAGCUAUUACGCUUUCUUUAAAGGAUGGCUGCUUCUAAGCCAACCUCCUAGCUGUCUAAGCCUUCCCACAUCGUUUACCACUUAACCACAACUUUGGGACCUUAGCUGGCGGUCUGGGUUGUUUCCCUUUUCACGACGGACGUUAGCACCCGCCGUGUGUCUCCCAUGCUCGGCACUUCUGGGUAUUCGGAGUUUGCAUCGGUUUGGUAAGUCGGGAUGACCCCCUAGCCGAAACAGUGCUCUACCCCCCAGAGUGAUACAUGAGGCGCUACCUAAAUAGCUUUCGAGGAGAACCAGCUAUCUCCGAGCUUGAUUAGCCUUUCACUCCGAUCCACAAGUCAUCCCCUACCUUUUCAACGGGAGUGGGUUCGGUCCUCCAGUCAGUGUUACCUAACCUUCAACCUGCUCAUGGAUAGAUCGCCCGGUUUCGGGUCUAUACCCAGCGACUAAACGCCCUAUUAAGACUCGCUUUCGCUACGCCUACCCUAUACGGUUAAGCUUGCCACUGAAUAUAAGUCGCUGACCCAUUAUACAAAAGGUACGCAGUCACCUAACAAGUAGGCUCCCACUGCUUGUACGCAUACGGUUUCAGGUUCUAUUUCACUCCCCUCUCCGGGGUUCUUUUCGCCUUUCCCUCACGGUACUGGUUCACUAUCGGUCAGUCAGUAGUAUUUAGCCUUGGAGGAUGGUCCCCCCAUGUUCAGACAAAGUUUCUCGUGCUCCGUCCUACUCGAUUUCACUUCAAAGAUCCUUUCGCGUACGGGGCUAUCACCCACUAUGGCCGCACUUUCCAGAGCGUUCCGCUAAAAUCAAUGAAGCUUAAGGGCUAAUCCCCGUUCGCUCGCCACUACUAAGGGAAUCUCGGUUGAUUUCUUUUCCUCAGGGUACUUAGAUGUUUCAGUUCCCCUGGUUCGCCUCUUGCACCUAUGGAUUCAGUACAAGAUACCUAGGUUAUCCUAGGUGGGUUCCCCCAUUCAGAGAUCUCCGGAUUAAAGUCUGUUUGCCGACUCCCCGAAGCUUUUCGCAGGCUACCACGUCUUUCAUCGCCUCUGACUGCCAAGGCAUCCACCGUAUGCGCUUCUUCACUUGACCAUAUAACCCCAAGCAAUCUGGUUAUACUGUGAAGACGACAUUCGCCGAAAAUUCGCGCUUGAACUCGCAAAUUUUACCUUGACUUGAAUGAUCACCAGUGAAAGAGAUCAUUCAGUCUUACUUCUAUCACAUACCCGAAUUUUUAAAGAACAGUUCUGGUGCAAAGACCAGAAAUCAAUGUUCAUCUACGAACAUUCAUUUCUGAGCUUUCGACGAUUGUUUUAGAUGGUGGAGCCAAGGAGGAUCGAACUCCUGACCUCCUGCGUGCAAAGCAGGCGCUCUCCCAGCUGAGCUAUGGCCCC